CCUGUAUUCAUAUGGCCAUUGUGGAUAAUCCUAUGCUUUAAUAAUUCUCCUGAUAUAUCACUGUUUAUUAGUAGGAUAUUUCUUCUGCUUGGCCAUAACAACAAUUUCAUGUUGUUUCUUUUGUAAUUCGAUGGUUGACAGUCUCAUAUAUUACACUAGCUAAUAUAUUACAACAGAAUGAAUCAACUACUCUCGUGGUCGAUCCCAUCCAAUCUAGUAUUAUUUACCGUCUAUCUGUCUGUAUGUAUUUACUCUGAACAAAAUUCAGUCUGCACAUCUGCAUUUGCAAUGCACAAGUACAGAUACAUCCGCCCCUGCUAUUUUCUUGUUAUACAUUACAUAGACGCAUACACACGCCGGGCUAUUUCUGUGUCUGUCUGCCUGGCCUCUCAAGGAUGCAUAUCUCUUUCGUAUGUAUUGGAUUUUGUAACAAUUUUGUUUUCCUCAUACUUAUAAGAUGAUGUGCUCGCUACUUACAUGUUUUCUGAUGCCGCAACAAAGGACUAUAUGUGGUUUCUUCAGUGGGGUUGUCACUGUCGCUCCUCAUGUUCAAUAACAUUUCAGCAUUGGACCUGCUAGUCACCCAAGCCAAGCCUCGCAUCGCUUCAACAAAGUGAUACUUCUUCCAAUCAACCCCUGCUUCGACUCUGCUCUUUUUUCCAUCUUCUCUUAUUUAAGCUAAGAAAGAUUCUGAGUUUGCAUCCAUCUCAUUACACUAGCUAGCAGAAUAUAUUAGUUAAGGCAACUCUACUACAUAUCAAUUUCCCGUACUGGAUUGUUCUAUAUUUUUAAAGUUGUUUCGUGGUGCAUGAGCGCAACCAGAAGAAAUAUAGGCUUAUGAUGACAAUUUUCCUUCUUAAGUAAUCAUAGUUGUUGGCUUCGGUAGCUUGCUGAAUAUGCUUUAGUUAUAUAUAGAAAUGACGUGCCUUCUAUGCUUAAAUGAUUGUUUGGCUCUAUAUAAUUCUUGACAUGAAUAUCUUGACUUCCCAAACAAGUAUAGGACUGUACCUAUGCAUACAGAUUAUCCUAACAAAACUGAAAAUAAAAAUUGAAGCAUGAAAUAAGCAAUAAGUGGUUGAUUUUUAUUUGCAUGUGAAGUGGAAAGUUGUAGCCAAGGCUUAUAUAUUACGAAAUAUUGUCACACCUCUGAGCUUCUACUGUUGUUAGGGACAUCAUAGUGUGAUCUUCAUGAUUUUUCACUUGACGAUGUACUGAUUCAUUAGUCAAGCAGAGACCGAAGUCAUCUUUUGCUACUGUUAGCUCUAUGGAUGUUUAUUUACCUACAACUUCUGCCAGCUCUAAGUUGGUUAUAUAGCAGUUCAAUUCAGUCAAUCUGUUGGAACUCGGUUUGUCUAUUACUUGUAUCCAGAUUUUAUAUCCUGCCCUAUGCCAUUGUCGACUUGCUUAGGUACAUAAUUGUUAUGUCUUGCAAUCUGGUAUUGAUGAUUGUCAAUGUAUUCAUUUAUACCUUUAUAGUGUACCUUGUAUGUGACCCAGCUGAUUUGUAUAACAAUGCUCUGUUUCCAAUAGAUGUAUGUUGAUGCCUGAUGGCCGAUUCCUUAAAACUUCACUGUUGCAGUAGCAUUUUAACUUAGUGCAUAGAUGUAUGAGCAAUCACUUAUGCUUGAAACCUUGCUCUCUUUCCCAGGAACCAUCGUGGUCUGCGUCACUACUGGGGCAGGAGAGGAAAGACUGUUGGUGUCUCCAAGAAGCGAUAAACUGCUUCAGAAAGAUCCCCGCAUAGCUUCACUACUACUGUGUUGGUCCAUUUCCAGAAUCGUAAGGAGUGUUCUUGUUUAGACGAUCACCUUGGAUGAUGCUUUUGCUUAAGGAGAGGCUCAAGAAGAUCAGGGAGCUCCACAUCCGAGUUUCAGCCAUCCUCUACAGCAAGGAGCUCUGGGCCAAAGGAGCAAGCAGCGCUGCUAGUUCCUUGAGGCCAGAUCGAGUAAGAUGGCGCACCAUGGCGUGUGGUGGCGUAUUUUGCUUCCGAGAACAGUACUGUUUAUUUGAAGUGAGAUGUACUCAUCUAGUGCCUGGCAAAAACUGAAGGAUGAAGUGUCAUGUACUGUCUAUGUUGUAGUGAGCUAUUGUAGGAGUGAAAUGAAAAUUUAUCUGUUGGUGUAUGUGCUAUUUCCCUGUAAUGUGUUGUGUACAUUUUACUUGAACAUUAAAUUCCUAGAAAAAAUGUUCUUA